UACGGAGGGGGCGAGCGUUAUUCGGAAUUAUUGGGCGUAAAGGGCGCGUAGGCGGCUUGGCAAGUCAAAGGUGAAAUCCCUCGGCUCAACUGAGGAACUGCCUUUGAAACUGCCUGGCUUGAGGCCGGGAGGGGGUAGCGGAAUUCCCAGUGUAGCGGUGAAAUGCGUAGAUAUUGGGAGGAACACCAGAGGCGAAGGCGGCCGGCUGGACCUGACCUGACGCUGAGGAGCGAAAGCUAGGGGAGCAAACGGG
rnacentral:rRNA from 1 species